AUGAACGCUGGCGGCGUGCCUAAUCCCUGCAAGUCGCGCGCACGGACGAGAAGCUUGCUUCUCUGAUGUUAGCGGCGGACGGGUGAGUAACACGUGGAUAACCUACCUAUAAGACUGGGAUAACUUCGGGAAACCGGAGCUAAUACCGGAUAAUAUUUUGAACCGCAUGGUUCAAAAGUAAAAGACGGUCUUGCUGUCACUUAUAGAUGGAUCCGCGCUGCAUUAGCUAGUUGGUAAGGUAACGGCUUACCAAGGCAACGAUGCAUAGCCGACCUGAGAGGGUGAUCGGCCACACUGGAACUGAGACACGGUCCAGACUCCUACGGGAGGCAGCAGUAGGGAAUCUUCCGCAAUGGGCGAAAGCCUGACGGAGCAACGCCGCGUGAGUGAUGAAGGUCUUCGGAUCGUAAAACUCUGUUAUUAGGGAAGAACAUAUGUGUAAGUAACUGUGCACAUCUUGACGGUACCUAAUCAGAAAGCCACGGCUAACUACGUG
rnacentral:rRNA from 1 species